AAGUCCUAGCUUAAUCAAAGCGUCUGAGUUGCAUUCAGGAGAUGCAGGGUAAUGUCCUGCGGAUUUUA
rnacentral:tRNA from 1 species